rnacentral:rRNA from 1 species
AGUGAACGCUGGCGGUGGGCCUAACACAUGCAAGUCGAACGGCAGCACAGUAAGAGCUUGCUCUUACGGGUGGCGAGUGGCGGACGGGUGAGGAAUACAUCGGAAUCUACUUUUUCGUGGGGGAUAACGUAGGGAAACUUACGCUAAUACCGCAUACGACCUACGGGUGAAAGCAGGGGAUCUUCGGACCUUGCGCGAUUGAAUGAGCCGAUGUCGGAGUAGCUAGUUGGCGGGGUAAAGGCCCACCAAGGCGACGAUACGUAGCUGGUCUGAGAGGAUGAUCAGCCACACUGGAACUGAGACACGGUCCAGACUCCUACGGGAGGCAGCAGUGGGGAAUAUUGGACAAUGGGCGCAAGCCUGAUCCAGCCAUACCGCGUGGGUGAAGAAGGCCUUCGGGUUGUAAAGCCCUUUUGUUGGGAAAGAAAAGCAGCAGGUUAAUACCCCGCUGUUCUGACGGUACCCAAAGAAUAAGCACCGGCUAACUUCGUG